rnacentral:lncRNA from 1 species
UUCUGUAGGUAGAACGAAGAGAAGUCAGUAUGUUGCACAGCAAAAUGAAUUGGGGUGCCAUUUGCACUGUAACGGUGCUUGGCUUUAUGCUGUAUACUACAGGUGCGAGGAUGGCGACAGCAGAGUGCAAACCACCGGACUGUAAAGCGAAUAGCGAAGCGACAGUAAACUGUAGUAGUCCGUGUGUCGGGUUCGCCUGCAGGAAUGGAACUCUUACGACCAAAUGGUGUCCGAACGAAGGGGACCCGUUAUGCACAAUACAAUACGACGGGAACCGCACAUACCCGGACUGCUGCGGGCCAACGAUGUGUAGGACCGGUCGAGGUUGAAAACACGGCGUGCAGCCCAAUAAAUGCAUAGCACAUUUAAGGCGAUAGCACUAUUGAACACCCGAGUUGGUCGCAAUAAACGACGUUGGA